rnacentral:rRNA from 1 species
GACGAACGCUGGCGGCGUGCCUAAUACAUGCAAGUCGAGCGCAGGAAGCCGUCUGAACCCUUCGGGGGGACGACGGUGGAAUGAGCGGCGGACGGGUGAGUAACACGUAAAGAAACUGCCCAUAGGUCUGGGAUAACCACGAGAAAUCGGGGCUAAUACCGGAUGUGUCAUCGGACCGCAUGGUCCGCUGAUGAAAGGCGCUCCGGCGUCGCCCAUGGAUGGCUUUGCGGUGCAUUAGCUAGUUGGUGGGGUAACGGCCCACCAAGGCGACGAUGCAGAGCCGACCUGAGAGGGUUAUCGGACACACUGGGCAUGAGAAACGGACCGAACUCCUACGGGAGGCAGCAGUAGGGAAUCUUCCACAAUGGACGAAAGUCUGAUGGAGCAACGCCGCGUGAACGAUGAAGGCUUUCGGGUCGUAAAGUUCUGUUGUAAGGGAAGAACAAGUGCCGCAGGCAAUGGCGGCACCUUGACGGUACCUUGCGAGAAAGCCACGGCUAACUACGUGCCAGCCGCCGCCGUAA